rnacentral:lncRNA from 1 species
GGCAAUCCAUCAGAGUUGCAAAAAGCCAUAGCUUGGAUCAUGAUGGGCAUUUUCCAAAAUACUGAGUUAUACUUUCAGUGAAAAGAAGACACUGAGCUGUUGACAUGACCUCCUGGUUCCAUAGAAGUAUGCACCAGUGUCCAGACUACUCUUGGGCCUGACCAGUGCUGACCUUCUGCCAUUUCAGCCUCAGCUACAGAGAGUCUUAGAAAGUCUUCGAGGGGGAGAUUUUCUUCUGGUAUUUCAUUCCUCUGUCACUUUAACUAAACCGACUCCAUUAUUUUAGCUGAAGCCAGAACGUCUGGACACCUUUUGCUUAUCUCUUG